rnacentral:rRNA from 1 species
GACGAACGCUGGCGGCGUGCUUAACACAUGCAAGUCGAACGGUAAGGCCUUUCGGGGUACACGAGUGGCGAACGGGUGAGUAACACGUGGGUGAUCUGCCCUGCACUUCGGGAUAAGCCUGGGAAACUGGGUCUAAUACCGGAUAUGACCACACUCUUCAUGGUGUGUGGUGGAAAGCUUUUGCGGUGUGGGAUGGGCCCGCGGCCUAUCAGCUUGUUGGUGGGGUAAUGGCCUACCAAGGCGACGACGGGUAGCCGGCCUGAGAGGGUGACCGGCCACACUGGGACUGAGAUACGGCCCAGACUCCUACGGGAGGCAGCAGUGGGGAAUAUUGCACAAUGGGCGCAAGCCUGAUGCAGCGACGCCGCGUGAGGGAUGACGGCCUCGG